UGUAACUCAAAGGGAUGCUGAUUGCAAGUUACAUUGAAAUUAGUCCCCGAGUCCCUUAGGGUCUUGUGCAGACCUGUAUCUUACAUAUCUCUGCUGUAAUUUCUUAAUCUGUAUCGUGUUAACUGUAGGUCAGUCUCACUGCUGGAAUCUCUGAGAAGUGAGGCAUGGCUGGAGCUCCCAGGAAUGCUGUGGUGCUGGGAGUGUGCUGCACAUGGCAGGGGAGGACCUGCAGAAAUGAGGAAGCUGGGAAUGCAGACAUUUUGAGCAGCAGAAUAAGGGAAGGUCUGUUCUUCACCCCAGGAACCACGCUGCACUUGAGUUACAAUCCAUUAGAGGCACCUCCCAGACUGACAGACUUUUAAAACUUCACACACAGCAGCAUGGAAAAUCUUAGAUGAGCUGAGGCUGUGUUAGACUGUAAAUCACAGUAGAGACAGGACAUGAAGUUGGCUUUGCAGAGGUUUCUGUAUCAGUUACUUCCCUCCCAGAAGUUAUGUGGUCAUUAAGGUUUUCUUGUGCAUAAUUGGUAAAAUAAUACACUUGUGCAGAAAGACGCAGCAG
rnacentral:lncRNA from 12 species